CCGGACUCCUUCCCACUCCUUCCCCUAACGCGCGCUUACUGUCCACUUUCACUGGAGACCGACUGCAACAAGCUCAGUUUUUUCCAGCUUUUUUUUUGCUUGCCAUUCUUUGCUUUUGGUUAUGCCCUAAUGUACGGAGGCAGUACCACACAGACGCUUCACCCCUACUAUGCGUGGCGCCCCUGAAAAACGUAGGCCAUGGACUGUCCCUGCGUUAGACUGCAUGCCACAAACUGCUUGUCCUUUCCUGUAAACAGUUUUUUCUAUUCUUCUGCAGUAUUUUUUUUUUCAACUCAAAACUCGACUUCUGUUUAGAAACCUUUUUUAAAAUCUCAUCUGUAUUCUAAAGCAGGAGCUGAGGGUUGAAGAAAAAGAAAAGAGUGUCUGAUGAAUGGACAGAUGAAGGGGACAGAGGCAAAGAAUGAGGGGAAAAUGGAGAGCGUGGUCUGCGGGAGAAAGUGAGAAAGACAGAGAGAGAGAGAGAGAGAGAGAGAGAGGUAGGAGAAAGAGUACCGGCACUGGCAAGAAAAACGGGAGGGGGAAAAGAGGAGAAGGGGGACCAGUAGGGAAUAGACUUAGGAAGGAGGGUCGGCUGGAUAGGAAUUGACAAAAUCGCGGGAAAAAGGAGAAAAAACAAAACUCCAGGAUGAGAAGAACGUGGACUUCUCAACAAACUCAGACACGCAGUCUCUGGUCGCCUUUCAUUUUUGUUUUUUGACAUGAUUUUUCAUCACUUCUCCGGUCACCCUCCCAUUCAUCUAUUGAGCCCUGGAGACAACCUGAUCUUUUUCAUUGAAGAUGUGAUUUUUAUCAGGCCGAGGGCUUUCAUACCAGCUAUCAGUAUUCCUGAGUGAAGGAGUUUGCAGAGUCUCACCUCUUCAUUGGCUGACAGCGGGGGUGACAGACAGACCCCCAGGAAUGCGGUGGUCAACCAUAGAAGCUCCCCAGUGAGAAGAGAGCCAUGGGAAAAACCUCAAACUAGAUCCCGGUUGUGAGGGCGUGAUCCAGUCCAGUUUAUGCAGACGUGUCAAGAUGAAACAUUUCACAUCAGACUGCAUCGGCAUCGGUAACAAACAACGGUGACCAGCCCACAGGGGUUUACAAGACAACAGAAGUACCGUUGCACUAGUGAAAAAGGGGUGCAAAGAAAUAAGAUCUGCCACAAAAGAGAUUCCUUUCAUUGAACACAACUAAAGUUUUUUAUAAUCUUCCA